CCUACGGGCGGCAGCAGUGGGGAAUAUUGCGCAAUGGGGGGAACCCUGAUGCAGCGACGCCGCGUGGGUGAAGGAGUGCUUCGGCAUGUAAAGCCCUAUCGGCAGGGAAGAAGCAAGACGGUACCUGACUAAGAAGCCCCGGCUAACUACGUGCCAGCAGCCGCGGUAAUACGUAGGGGGCGAGCGUUAUCCGGAUUCACUGGGUGUAAAGGGAGCGUAGACGGCCAUGCAAGCCAGGGGGGCAAGCCCGGGGCCCAACCCCGGGACUGCCCUUGGAACUGUGCGGCUAGAGUGCGGGAGGGGCAGGCGGAAUUGCUGGUGGAGCGGUGAAAUGCGUAGAUAUCAGGAGGAACACCGGCGGCGAAGGCGGCCUGCUGGACCGCGACUGACGUUGAGGCUCGAAAGCGUGGGGAGCGAACAGGAUUAGAUACCCGUGUAGUC
rnacentral:rRNA from 1 species